AUUGAACGCUGGCGGCAUGCCUUACACAUGCAAGUCGAACGGCAGCACGGGAGCAAUCCUGGUGGCGAGUGGCGAACGGGUGAGUAAUAUAUCGGAACGUGCCCAGUCGUGGGGGAUAACGCAGCGAAAGCUGUGCUAAUACCGCAUACGAUCUAAGGAUGAAAGCGGGGGAUCGCAAGACCUCGCGCGAUUGGAGCGGCCGAUAUCAGAUUAGCUAGUUGGUGGGGUAAAGGCCCACCAAGGCGACGAUCCGUAGCUGGUCUGAGAGGACGACCAGCCACACUGGAACUGAGACACGGUCCAAACUCCUACGGGAGGCAGCAGUGGGGAAUUUUGGACAAUGGGCGCAAGCCUGAUCCAGCAAUGCCACGUGCAGGAUGAAGGCCUUCGGGUUGUAAACUGCUUUUGUACGGAACGAAACGGCCCUUUCUAAUACAGGGGGCUAAUGACGGUACCGUAAGAAUAAGCACCGGCUAACUACGUGCCAGCAGCCGCGGUAACAC
rnacentral:rRNA from 1 species